AGGAUCAUUAAAAAAAUACAUAUCACACUGAUUUUCAUUAGACACACACAACAACACAAACAUCAACAUACAACAAAACAAAACUUUCAACAACGGAUCUCUUGGUUCUCGCACCGAUGAAGAACGCAGCGAAAUGCGAUACGUAGUAUGACUUGCAGCCUUCGUGAAUCAUCGAAUCUUUGAACGCACAUUGCACCCCGUGGCAUUCCGCGGGGUAUGCCUGGCUGAGCGUCUUUUCUCCCUCAACACUUUGUUGGCGAUGUGGCUGGACACCCACCACGAAAGAGAAAACCAGAGAGCAACACGCAUUUCUCUGGGACGCAACGUAGACCUCAGCUCAGGUAGGAGGACCCGCUGAACUUAA
rnacentral:misc_RNA from 1 species